UUUAAGGGCAGCCAUGAGUUUCCGUGUCUAAGUUUGAUCGUUCGUUUUAUUUGAAAUUUUUUAGUAUUUUUGUUGUUAUUAGAUGAUAAAACAUGAAUAAUACUUUAUCUGUGACUUAUGUUAUUUAAUUUUUUUAAAAAAUUAAAUAAGACGAACAAUUAAAAUUGAAUACGGAAACUCAUAGCUAUGUUUAAA
rfam:Oryza glaberrima chromosome 11 Oglab11_0062_5, whole genome shotgun sequence.